rnacentral:lncRNA from 10 species
AUUUGAGAACCUUCUUUUUUCCUAGUACAGGUGUUUAGUACUAAAAUUUCUCUGUAACUACUGCUUUAGUUACAUCUACAAAUUUUAAUGUUAUUUUUUCAUUUAGUUAGAAACACUUUCUAAUUUACCUUUGUUAUUUUCUCUGAACCAUGGGUUAUUUAGAAAUCUGUGAUUUAGUUUCCAAAUAAUUUGGAAUUUUCCAGGAUUUAACACUGCAUCAAAGACCCCAAGAAAUGCUAUUAAAAUGCAAAUAAGUUGGUUCUUAGAAGUUUGGAGAAAGCAAUGGCACACAUUUAAAGAAGCAGAAAUGCUAGAGUUGCUAUAGCAGACAAUGGAAGAAGAAACCAAGAGACUCGGAGAACAUGCAGGAGGGAUGUAUUAGAGGGCAGUAAUUAUUAUAAUAGUACUGUUAAAGACGAUGAAGACUUACAGACAUGGAGACAAAGAAGAAUUGAAGUGGAUAUGAGCAAAAUAAAUAUCUUUUCCUCCUACUUAUCCAGAAUUCUCAAAAGAUAUUAAUUAUUUUGACAAGCAGCAGGGAAAUGCCAUGAAUAUGUGAACUGAUGAAAACAAAAGCAAUGAUACUUCCAAGGAUGCACCUGACAGCUCUUAAGGGAUCUAGAGAAAUGAGAGAAUUACAGAGAAGAUUUCAAGUGUUUUACUAAUAAACUCAGGUACUGAAUUUAAAGGAAUGCCCGUGGCUUCUACCCUAGAAGAUCUUAAGAGUCUGAAUGGAGGAAGAAAAGCUAAAAAGUAAUGAUAGUGGCAUGUGAGGAAGGUAUAUAAUAGAGGAAGCCAUGUAAACACUAAAGUGCCUCUAUUCCUGUGAAAUAUUCAGAAGAUUAUAUUUGGUUUGUGUCUGAAAGCCCUGUGGCUGUGUGUCACCAAAAAUGGUGUAAAAGGUGGUAGUGCAUCCCGGACAGAGGGGAUAGCAUGGACAAAGACUCCAAGUCAUUAGACUUUUAGUUUGUUGGAAGAACUGGAAGGAAUUUAGUAGGCCCAAGUCAUAGUCGGUGCUUGCCGGUCAACACACCUGCUUUUUCCUUCCUGAAAUUCUCAUGCAAGCUAAUCUCAUCAGCCAAAUUGUUCAACUCCAGAGGUCUAGAGACCUGCUACUCCUACAAAUCCUCCUUUAAAAAUUAUUUUAACUGAUGAAUAAUAGUGUAUAUUUAUGGGGUACAAUGUGAUAUUUUCAUAGAAAUAUACAAUGUGGAAUGACUAAAUCAAGUGAAUUCACAUAUCCAUUACCUAAUUUAUUUACAUGGUGGCACAUUUAAAAUUUACUCUUAGCAAUUUUGAAAUAUACAAUUCAUUAUAAACUAUACUCACCAUGCUGUGUAAAAGAUAUCAAAGACUUAUUCCUCCUGUCUAACUGAAACUUUGUAUCCUUUGAUCACCAUCUCCCCAGUCUUCCAUUUACUCUCUCCCUGACCCUCUGGUAGCCACCAUUCAAUUACUACUUCUAUGAGUUUGACAUUUUUAGAUGUUUGUCUUUCUGUGCCUGGUUUAUUUCACUUAGCAUAAUGUUCUUUGGGUUCUUCCAUGUUGUUGCAAAUGGCAGGAUUUCCUUUAAGGCUGAAUAGUAUUUCAUUUUGUAUAUACUAUUAAUAUAUGCCACAUUUUCUUUAUCCAUUCACCUAUUGAUACACACUUAGGUUGAUAUUGGCUAUUGCAAAUAAUAUCCCAAUGAACAUGGAGGUACAGAUAUCGCUUUGAUUUAUUAAUUUUAAUUUUUUGAUACAUAUCCAGAACUGGGAUUGUUGGAUCAAAUGGUAAUUUAUUUUUAGUUUUUUGAUGAACCUCCAUACUGCUUUCCAUAAUGUACUAAUUUACAUUCCCACCAAUAGUACCAGGGUUCUCUUUUCUCCACAUACUCACUAACACUUGUUAUCGUUUGUAUUUUGAUAAUAGGUAUUCUAAUAGGUGUGAGGUGUAUCUCGUUGUGGUUUUAAUUUGCAUUUCCCUGAUGAGUAGUAACAUGGAGCAUUUUUUCAUGGACCUGUUGGCCAUUUGUAUAUAUUCUUUUGAGCAAUGUCUAUUCAAGUCCUUUGCCCUUUUAAAAAUUUGAUUAUUUGUCUUAUUUGCUAUUCAAUUGUUUGAGUUCCUUAUGUAUUUUGGAUAUUAACCCCUUAUCAGAUAUAUAUGGUUCGCAAAUAUCUUCUCUCACUCUCUGAUUAUUCACCUUUUUAAUUGCUUCCUCUGCUGUGCAGAAGACUUUUAGUUUCAUAUAUUCCCAUUAAUCUAUUUUUGCUUUUGUUACCUGUGCUUUUAACAUCAUAUCCAAAAUAUAAUUGCUCAGAUCAAUGUUGUAGAACUUUCCCCUAUGAUUUCUUCUAGCAGUUUUACAGUUUCAGGUCUUAUAUUUAAGUUUUUAAAUAUAUUCAAGGUUUUACAUAUAUUCACCGCAAUCAAGUGAGAUUAACCCCUGGGAUUAAACCCAUUUUCAGUUGAUUUUUAUGUAUUGUAUGAAAUAUGAACCUAAUUUCACUCUUUUGCAUAUAGAUACACAGUUUUCUCAACUGGAUCCAGUUUUCUCAUUAAUUGGAGUCUGUCCUUUCCCUAUUAUGUAUUCUUGGAACUUUUAUAAAAAAAUCAAUUGUCAUAAAUGCAUGGGUUUAUUUUUGUACUGUCUAUCCUGUUCCAUUGGUUGAUGUGUCUAUUUUUAUGCAGUACCAUGCUGUUUUAAUUACUGCAACUUUGUAGAAUAUUUUGAUGUCAGGUAAGUAUGAUGCCUCAAGCUUUGUUUUGAUUUGUUUUUUGCUCAAGACUGCUUUGGAUAUUAAGGGUCUUUUGUGGUUCUAUAUGGAUAUUAGAAUUUUUUUUCUAUUUCCAUGAAAAUAAUUACAUUUUAAUAAGGAUUGCAUUGAAUCUGUACAUUGCUUUGGGUAGUAGGGACAUUUUAAUAAUAUUAACUCUUUAAUUCAUGAACACAUGAUAUUUUCCCACUUAUUGGUAUUUUCUUCACUUUCUUUCAUAAGUGUUUUAUUGUUUCUAGUACACAGAUCUUUACCUUCUUGGUUAAAUUUGCACCUAAGUAUUUUUGUUGUUACUGUUGCUGUUGUAAAUGAAAUUGUUUUCUUGAUUUCUUUCUCAGAUAGUUCAUUGUUAUUGUAUAGAUACGCAACUGAUUUUUGUACGUUGAUUUUGUAUCCUGCAACUUUACUGAGUUUGUUUAUUACUUCUAACUGUUUUGGGGUACAGUCUUUAGGAUUUUGUAUAUAUAUAAGUUUAUGUCAGCAAGCAGCGGCAACUUCACUUCUUCCUUUCUUAUUAGGAUCCCCUUUAUUUAUUUUUAUCAUGCUUAAUUCUCUG